rnacentral:rRNA from 1 species
CUUUGAUUCCCCGCUGCCAAGAAAAGCUUCUAGCGAGAUAAAAGGUGCCUGUACCGCAAACCGACACAGGUAGGCGAGGAGAGAAUCCUAAGGUGUGCGAGAGAACUCUGGUUAAGGAACUCGGCAAAAUGACCCCGUAACUUCGGGAGAAGGGGUGCUUUCUUAACGGAAAGCCGCAGUGAAUAGGCCCAAGCGACUGUUUAGCAAAAACACAGGUCUCUGCGAAGCCGUAAGGCGAAGUAUAGGGGCUGACACCUGCCCGGUGCUGGAAGGUUAAGGAGAGGGGUUAGCGUAAGCGAAGCUCUGAACUGAAGCCCCAGUAAACGGCGGCCGUAACUAUAACGGUCCUAAGGUAGCGAAAUUCCUUGUCGGGUAAGUUCCGACCCGCACGAAAGGUGUAACGAUUUGGGCACUGUCUCAACCAGAGACUCGGUGAAAUUAUAGUACCUGUGAAGAUGCAGGUUACCCGCGACAGGACGGAAAGACCCCGUGGAGCUUUACUGUAGCCUGAUAUUGAAUUUUGGUACAGUUUGUACAGGAUAGGCGGGAGCCAUUGAAACCGGAGCGCUAGCUUCGGUGGAGGCGCUGGUGGGAUACCGCCCUGACUGUAUUGAAAUUCUAACCUACGGGUCUUAUCGACCCGGGAGACAGUGUCAGGUGGGCAGUUUGACUGGGGCGGUCGCCUCCUAAAGUGUAACGGAGGCGCCCAAAGGUUCCCUCAGAAUGGUUGGAAAUCAUUCGUAGAGUGCAAAGGCAUAAGGGAGCUUGACUGCGAGACCUACAAGUCGAGCAGGGACGAAAGUCGGGCUUAGUGAUCCGGUGGUUCCGCAUGGAAGGGCCAUCGCUCAACGGAUAAAAGCUACCCCGGGGAUAACAGGCUUAUCUCCCCCAAGAG